rnacentral:rRNA from 1 species
GAUGAACGCUGGCGGCGUGCCUAAUACAUGCGAGUCGAGCGAACAGAUGAGGAGCUUGCUCGUCUGACGUUAGCGGCGGACGGGUGAGUAACACGUGGAUAACCUACCUAUAAGACUGGGAUAACUUCGGGAAACCGGAGCUAAUACCGGAUAAUAUAUUGAACCGCAUGGUUCAAUAGUGAAAGACGGUUUUGCUGUCACUUAUAGAUGGAUCCGCGCCGCAUUAGCUAGUUGGUAAGGUAACGGCUUACCAAGGCGACGAUGCGUAGCCGACCUGAGAGGGUGAUCGGCCACACUGGAACUGAGACACGGUCCAGACUCCUACGGGAGGCAGCAGUAGGGAAUCUUCCGCAAUGGGCGAAAGCCUGACGGAGCAACGCCGCGUGAGUGAUGAAGGUCUUCGGAUCGUAAAACUCUGUUAUUAGGGAAGAACAAAUGUGUAAGUAACUAUGCACGUCUUGACGGUACCUAAUCAGAAAGCCACGGCUAACUACGUG